GAUGAAGAACGCAGCGAAAUGCGAUAAGUAAUGUGAAUUGCAGAAUUCAGUGAAUCAUCGAAUCUUUGAACGCACAUUGCGCCCUCUGGUAUUCCGGGGGGCAUGCCUGUUCGAGCGUCAUUAUAACCACUCAAGCUCUCGCUUGGUACUGGGGUUCGCGGUUCCGCGGCCCCUAAAAUCAGUGGCGGUGCCUGUCGGCUCUACGCGUAGUAAUACUCCUCGCGAUUGAGUCCGGUAGGUCUACUUGCCAGCAACCCCCAAUUUUUACAGGUUGACCUCGGAUCAGGUAGGGAUACCCGCUGAACUUAAGCAUAUCAAUAAGCGGAGGA
rnacentral:misc_RNA from 1 species